rnacentral:rRNA from 1 species
UACGGGGGGGGCAAGCGUUGUUCGGAAUUACUGGGCGUAAAGGGCUCGUAGGCGGCCAACUAAGUCCGACGUGAAAUCCCCAGGCUUAACCUGGGAACUGCGUCGGAUACUGGUUGGCUUGAAUCCGGGAGAGGGAUGCGGAAUUCCAGGUGUAGCGGUGAAAUGCGUAGAUAUCUGGAGGAACACCGGUGGCGAAGGCGGGUUGCUGGGCCGACACUGACGCUGAGGCGCGAAAGCCAGGGGAGCAAACGGG